AAAUUGAAGAGUUUGAUCAUGGCUCAGAUUGAACGCUGGCGGCAGGCCUAACACAUGCAAGUCGAACGGUAACAGGAAGCAGCUUGCUGCUUUGCUGACGAGUGGCGGACGGGUGAGUAAUGUCUGGGAAACUGCCUGAUGGAGGGGGAUAACUACUGGAAACGGUGGCUAAUACCGCAUAACGUCGCAAGACCAAAGAGGGGGACCUUCGGGCCUCUUGCCAUCAGAUGUGCCCAGAUGGGAUUAGCUUGUUGGUGAGGUAACGGCUCACCAAGGCGACGAUCCCUAGCUGGUCUGAGAGGAUGACCAGCCACACUGGAACUGAGACACGGUCCAGACUCCUACGGGAGGCAGCAGUGGGGAAUAUUGCACAAUGGGCGCAAGCCUGAUGCAGCCAUGCCGCGUGUAUGAAGAAGGCCUUCGGGUUGUAAAGUACUUUCAGCGGGGAGGAAGGUGUUGUGGUUAAUAACCGCAGCAAUUGACGUUACCCGCAGAAGAAGCACCGGCUAACUCCGUGCCAGCAGCCGCGGUAAUACGGAGGGUGCAAGCGUUAAUCGGAAUUACUGGGCGUAAAGCGCACGCAGGCGGUCUGUCAAGUCGGAUGUGAAAUCCCCGGGCUCAACCUGGGAACUGCAUUCGAAACUGGCAGG
rnacentral:rRNA from 6 species